GUGUCAGCCGCCGCGGUAAUACAGAGGUCCCAAGCGUUGUUCGGAUUCACUGGGCGUAAAGGGUGCGUAGGUGGCCGGGUAAGUUUGGUGUGAAAGCUCGGAGCUUAACUCCGAAAUGGCACUGAAUACUAUUUGGCUGGAGGGUCGGAGGGGAGACUGGAAUUCUCGGUGUAGCAGUGAAAUGCGUAGAUAUCGAGAGGAACACCAGUGGCGAAGGCGAGUCUCUGGACGACUCCUGACACUGAGGCACGAAAGCCAGGGGAGCAAACAGGAUUAGAAACCCGGGUAGUCC
rnacentral:rRNA from 1 species